UGGGGAAUAUUGGACAAUGGGCGCAAGCCUGAUCCAGCCAUGCCGCGUGAGUGAAGAAGGCCUUAGGGUUGUAAAACUCUUUCGCCGGGGAAGAUAAUGACGGUACCCGGAGAAGAAGCUCCGGCUAACUUCGUGCCAGCAGCCGCGGUAAUACGAAGGGAGCUAGCGUUGUUCGGAAUUACUGGGCGUAAAGCGCACGUAGGCGGACUUGUCAGUCAGGGGUGAAAUCCCAAGGCUCAACCUUGGAACUGCCUCCGAUACAGCAAGCCUAGAGAUCGGGAGAGGUGAGUGGAAUUCCUAGUGUAGAGGUGAAAUUCGUAGAUAUUAGGAAGAACACCAGUGGCGAAGGCGGCUCACUGGCCCGAUACUGACGCUGAGACGCGAAAGCGUGGGGAGCAAACAGGAUUAGAUACCCCUGUAGUCCCUGAGCGGGCUGGCAAGGCGCAU
rnacentral:rRNA from 1 species